rnacentral:rRNA from 1 species
UCAGUGUGAGGAUUCGAACCCACGAUCGCCUUGAUGUUUAGUUUUAAGAGAAAAGGCAAUAGGCCAAUUGAUCCAAGGGAAAUUUUUGUAGAAACUUUAACAAGAAAUAUAUAUAACUUCUCCACACUAGUUAAUUGUUAUUUUCCAAUACUUUUAGAGGGCUUUUAAAAGUAUAGAUUAGACAAUGGUCACAAAUUAAUUGAAAACGGAAAUGGAGGUUUUUCUAACAAGUUAUGGCCGGUCAAAGUGCCCAAAAGAGUCAAAAUUAGCAUAAACAAUCUUAAUUGAAGGUGAAGGAGGCAAAAUUAGGAAAUUUUUUCUGGCCAAACCGCCUUCGGCGGUUUGCCAGCGUGUAGAGCUCGAAAAAAUAAGCAACUUUAAAAAAAGAAUCAGGUCAUUCCGAGGUGUGUGUCAAGAGAUAUCACCUUUCAAAGUUUUGUGAAAUGUUUCCAUAAAAGUUUUGGGAAAGGUUAUAAAACUUAUGGUUAACUGGUAUGCUAUUUUAACUUACAUCAUUCCUUGAUUUCUAGAUUACGAGCUACCCUCUUACAUGUAUGCCCUGGCUAUUCUAUUUAAUUGUCAGUACUGAUUAUGUUCUGAUUACCAGCUACUGUCUUAAAACUUGCAUGAAAGUUAACAUUACCAGUUACUUGGAUGAAGAGGCUGCAAAACCAAAUCAUAUUUUCUGACUAGGUUUCUUUCAGAGUAGUUACUGAUAUGUUGAGCUGGAUCAUUAUUUGGACUAGGUUUGUUUCAAACUUACUGAUAUCUACAUGGUUGACACCAGCUAUGGCCACCCACAAUAAUAAGUAUAUAAAUUUACUGGCGCGUUGAACUGCAUCAGAAUAUUGCAUGUUAAAACUUGCAUGAAAGUUUGCAUGCAUAUUGCCGUGGGAGAUUUGAAUCAUUAACAAACUCGUGACCAAUUCUUUGAAUCAUUGGCUGUGUCGUGACCCACGUUAAGCGGAACAAAUCCCCGGACCCCAAUCUUUUUUUAAAAGUAGUAGAAGCGGUAUAUAAAAUUUUCUAUGGACUCCAUAAAAUAAUUUAGUUGGACCCUGUAACAAUGAUAGUGAGCCUGGUGUAGUGGUAAAACCCCUUGUUUAUACACAAGAGGUCCCUAGUUUGAUACCUGUUUGUUUUGUUUUUUUGUGUUUUUUUAAACCUGAAUCACUCCAUUUUUUUUUCUAUUUCAAUUUUUUCUCACCUAUAUUUACCUUAAACUGUAUUUUUAACAUAAAAUACUGCCCUCCUUCAAAUAUUUUUAACGAAACAAAAUUAACAAACUACAGCAACUCAUAAUUCACGAUCAUUUUUUUUUGUGAGGACCCUUUUGUCAUCGAUGUUGUGCUCAGAAAUGCGCAGAAGUUAUUCAACUUUGUCUUGCACAUACAUCCUCUAUAACCUACUCAUAAUGCGCGGAAGUUAAUCAACUUUCUCUUGCACAACUCUUGCACAUCCCAUCAUGGAAGACUCGUGCCGCCCACAAAGAUUUUGAUGUUUUAUCGUAUCUUCAUCUAACCAAAGAAAUUAUGUCAUCUCUAACUGAUUGUUGUAAAACUGUAAUCAUUUUUUGUUCGUUAGAGAAAUCAUCUUUAUCAUCUUUUUUGGAGGAUUAUAUCCUAUUAUAAUCCUCUAUGUUCAUAAGUUUAUGUUGUUCCUAUACUCGCAUUCGUUUAUUAGAUCAAUCGUUCACUUUUAUACCUCCAUUAUACCCCGUUAUUCUUCGUCGUUCAUACACACUUCGUUUACGAUCAAAUCUGUUUAUGCAUUCGAAUUCUAAACCACUUUCUUACUUUUAAAACUAUAUUUUUCCAUCUUUCACUUAAAUACAAACAUACUUACUUGCCCCUCACCUCCCAAAAAUCUUUUAAUUAAAAUGCCUAAGUUUCUCGUUCUUCAUCAAUGAAUAAUUUCCUACAAACAUGUGAUUUAAUAUUCCUAUUUGAAACCAACGAAACUCAUCUUACAAAUUACAGUGCCGUCACACUUUUCGUCAAAAUGCUUACUGUCAUUUAAUACGAAGCUUUACUUCUUAGAUAGCAAAAUUGCUCCCACUCAUCUUGGUUAUUCAUAAAGCCUUGCGUCUAAUCAUUUUAACCCUAAUCAUUCACUAAACCUCACACAAAAAUCCAAGCACGUACUUUCACUUUCUUUGGUUCUCUCUGGCAAUCAUCACCAUCAUCAUUGGCACAAGAUAUUCAUCACCCUUGAUUCCACAUUUU